ACAGGAAGAGGAAAUUCCAUGGUUUGGUGAACCCAGAAAUUCUUCAGUACAUCUCGGUUAUAAAACUGUGUUAAAUACACUUAAACUCUAUAAUUCUAUAAGACCCAUUUUAGGUUUAUACACUGAGCAUCCAGUUCCUCACCAUCCUCUCAUAGGUUAACCCUGUGUAAUACAAGUUCUGCUCCCAUAAUUCUAUGAACAAAACAGCCCUUGAUAUAUAGGCUUGAUUUUUUAAAUACAUUUUCUUUACUUUAUUCUAAAUGUAACAUAAGGUCAACAUAGAAAACUGAAAAGCAUAAGGAAAGUGAAAUAUCUGUAAUCUUAUCAACCAUUGUUAAUUUUGCUGUAUUCCUAGUUUCUUUUUAUACAUAUCAAUAUAGUACUUUUGUUUUAAUAAAAGGACUGCCAAAAGGCACAUGCCAAUUUGGACUCUGCUUUUUCUACUUACAGUGAUAUCAUAGUUUCUCAUAUUUGGUAUUCUUUUGCAAUAUUUGCUGCAUAGAAUUCCAUCACACAAAGGUAACUGCCAGAAAUUCCUUAUUACUUUUGCUAGACACUUAGGGUUUACAUUUUUUCAAAAAUUAAUCACAUCAGAGUUUUGAUCACAUCAGAGCUUUGAUCACAGCUCUGAUGAUUUCUCUGGGAACUGAGAGCCUAACACAAGUCAUGUCCACUUCAAGACUUUUAACAUACUGAAAAGUUAUGUUACAGAGUGCUGGUCCCCCUGCAACACGUUCACUCACAUUGGCUGACGUUUUAAUUCUUUGCCAAUCUGAGGGGAAGAAAUGUCAACUCUUUGUUUGCUCUUUUAAUGUCAGUCAUGUCCUUUUCCUUUUACCGGUCAUUCCGGUUUACUCACAAUCCUACAAAUCAAUCCUGCUCAUUCUUAAUUUUCCAGUAUUGUUCCUCAGAUUGUUUCACCAGAAAAGUUCUCCCCCUUAUCCACUCUUCACCUAACAAUUUCUACCCAUCCGAAUCCUCCUGCAUUUAUUGCUUCCAGGAAUUUGGCACUUAGGAUACCCUUGUCCUUACAUUGUUCAUGCAUGUAUAUUUCGUCUUCAAUAAAAAAUUUAGUUGCUCAAGGGCAAGGGCCCCAUAGAGUCUCAAUAUUCUAAUGGCCUGGUGUUGCUUAAUAAAUUAGAUUCGGAAGGGUCCCCUCCAGGGAGGGGAGCAAAGGGCAAAUUACCUUAGGGGCUGGGAGUGCAGAAGCCAAACCUUUGAGAUUGUGAAAACAAGACGGCCCCGAGACGAUCCAGUAGCAGACAUUCAAGCAAGAAAAAAACUCAAAUAUUGUUCCCAAUAGUGCCUGACUAAUGCCAAAUACCAAGUAAGGGCCCAGGCAGUCCUGACAGCCUGCAGUGCCCCAGGAUAAAACUAACCCUGAGGGGUGCUAGCCCACGGUGACCCCCUGUCUAGACUCUGGAUCUCUAUUUUUAGGUCGAAGUGCUUUAUUCUUGAUUCCCGAAUUCCCGGAAACUAUUACCAAAGCAGCUUAGUUUUCUUUCCACCCUGCCUGGGUCACAAAUAUGACGGCGAGCCAGUCCUUUCCCGCAGGAACGCCUCAGGCUUCCGGGAUGGUAGCCCAAGGGUUUAGCAAGAAAAAAGGCGGCCUCGGGGAACCUGUUCUGUUAGGUUCCGCCAGGGCCUCCCCCUGUCCCCUCGAAGGCCAAGUGCUGCCCAUGAGCGCCGAGGCUCCGCCUCGCGGCCCGCCGAUUGGCCCCAGCCGCCCUGGUGACUCGACGCACUUCCGCCCCGGGCGCGGCUCGGGCCACGCCCACCUGUCCUGCAGCACUGGAUGCUUUGUGAGUUGGGGAUUGUUGCGUUCCAUAGCUGGACCCAGAAGGGACUUCCCUGCUCGGGAAACUGGCUCUCAGUUUCUCUGCUUUCCUCCGGAAAAAUAACGGCGUCUUCCGCGCCGCGCAUGGAGUCUCCCGGCCGCCGCGAGUGUCCCUUUCCUUCCUGGCGCUUUCCUGGGUUGCUUCUGGCGGCCAUGGUGUUGCUGCUGUCCUCCUUCUCCGAUGCCUGUGAGGAGCCACCAACAUUUGAAGCUAUGGAGCUCAUUGGUAAACCAAAACCCUACUAUGAGAUUGGUGAACGAGUAGAUUAUAAGUGUAAAAAAGGAUACUUCUAUAUACCACCUCUUGCCACCCAUACUAUUUGUGAUCGGAAUCAUACAUGGCUACCUGUCUCAGAUGACGCCUGUUAUAGAGAAACAUGUCCAUAUAUACGGGAUCCUUUAAAUGGCCAAGCAAUCCCUGCAAAUGGGACUUACGAGUUUGGUUAUCAGAUGCACUUUAUUUGUAAUGAGGGUUAUUACUUAAUUGGUGAAGAAAUUCUAUAUUGUGAACUUAAAGGAUCAGUAGCAGUUUGGAGCGGUAAGCCCCCAAUAUGUGAAAAGGUUUUGUGUACACCACCUCCAAAAAUAAAAAAUGGAAAACACACCUUUAGUGAAGUAGAAGUAUUUGAGUAUCUUGAUGCAGUAACUUAUAGUUGUGAUCCUGCACCUGGACCAGAUCCAUUUUCACUUAUUGGAGAGAGCACGAUUUAUUGUGGUGACAAUUCAGUAUGGAGUCGUGCUGCUCCAGAGUGUAAAGUGGUCAAAUGUCGAUUUCCAGUAGUCGAAAAUGGAAAACAGAUAUCAGGAUUUGGAAAAAAAUUUUACUACAAAGCAACAGUGAUGUUUGAAUGUGAUAAGGGUUUUUACCUCGAUGGCAGCGACACAAUUGUCUGUGACAGUAACAGUACUUGGGUUCCCCCAGUUCCAAAGUGUCUUAAAGUGCUGCCUCCGUCUAGUACAAAACCUCCAGCUUUGAGUCAUUCAGUGUCGACUUCUUCCACUACAAAAUCUCCAGCGUCCAGUGCCUCAGGUUUAGUAAUUUCCUGCUUAUAUUUUUUCAAAAAUCCUUUAAAUUCCUGGUGAUUUUUAAAAAAAUCCUUCAAAUUUCUGGUGAUGUUCACUUAUUUUUAGUAAUGAAAGGAGGGAGGACAUUUGUAUAGCCAUUUUAGUUGUUAUACAUAGUGAUUCUAAAAUUAUUUGCCAUAAUCUGAUAUAAACAGGAAUAUGACCUUGGGAAAGUUGUAUAAAUUUUGAAUGUGUUUAUAUAUAUAUGUUUACAUUAUAUAUAGAGAAAUUGAUUUAGUACCUUCCUUAUUGGGUAUUAGUAAGGUAUAAGUGGGAUGCAUUUAAAGCACUUAGCACAGUGCCUGGUGUAGAGAAAGCUCUUAGAGCUAGCUAAUAUGACUUAUCCUACACUUAAAUUAAUGUUAGGGAAGGGGAAGGUUCAUGUAUGUUUGUUAGUAUGUGUGUGUGUUAAUAUGUUAAUAUGUUUGUUUGUUAAUAUGUAUGUUUUGUGUCAUCAACUUUGCUAUUUUAUUCUUUUCAGAAGUGAUCUGUUGACACCUUUACUGAGUUUGUUCCUAUUGCAGGACUCUUUCAUUUUCUGGAAUGCAACUAGUUUGAGUCUUCUGAUGUAAAACAUUUAAACAGGGAAAUUUCUGCUGUCCUCAGAACAAGAUCUGUAUUUCUGCCUCUUCCCUACCCACCCCUCUUCCACACCUCAUAAUGUUAUUUAUUUUUUUUCUCUUUAGUGGGCAGUUUUAUCUGGCAAUAGCAACUCAAUUUUAUAGCAACUGAAAGGCAGGAAAAGUCCUUAUUUACUGAAAUAAAAUAGAAGACUUUUGCAGGGACUCCUGGUCAACCACUGUGCUUAUGACUGGAGAGAUUAUUUUGAUAUGACGGAAGGAAUUAUCCUGAUUUCAGCACUACCAUCUCUGGUUUCACUUUGCUUCCAGCAGAAGCAAGAGACAAUAGUAAUUGUGGGUAGCACUUCAGUCUGGGCAGACUGUGCUUAGUUGACAUCAUUUCUGUGGUCUUCAGUUUCCCUUUAGUAUAAUGUCCUAGGCCUACUUACAAGCCUCCAGUCUCAAAUUAUCCAGGAUAUCCUAAACCUGAGGAAGGAAUACUUGACAGUUUGGAUGUUUGGGUCAUUGCUGUGAUUGUUAUUGCCAUAGUUGUUGGAGUUGCAGUAAUUUGUGUUGUCCCGUACAGAUAUCUUCAAAGGAGGAAGAAGAAAGGGAAAGCAGAUGGUGGAGCUGAAUAUGCCACUUACCAGACUAAAUCAACCACUCCAGCAGAGCAGAGAGGCUGAAUGGAUUCCACAGCCUGGUUUGCCAGUUCAUCUUUUGACUCUAUUAAAAUCUUCAAUAGUUGUUAUUCUGUAGUUUCACUCUCAUGAGUGCAACUGUGGCUUAGCUAAUAUUGCAAUGUGGCUUGAAUGUAGGUAGCAUCCUUUGAUGCUUCUUUGAAACUUGUAUGAAUUUGGGUAUGAACAGAUUGCCUGUUUUCCCUUAAAUAACACUUAGAUUUAUUGGACCAGUCAGCACAGCAUGCCUGGUUGUAUUAAAGCAGGGAUAUGCUGUAUUUUAUAAAAUUGGCAAAAUUAGAGAAAUAUAGUUCACAAUGAAAUUAUAUUUUCUUUGUAAAGAAAGUGGCUUGAAAUCUUUUUUGUUCAAAGAUUAAUGCCAACUCUUAAGAUUAUUCUUUCACCAACUAUAGAAUGUAUUUUGUAUAUCGUUCAUUGUAAAAAGCCCUUAAAAAUAUGUGUAUACUACUUUGGCUCUUGUGCAUAAAAACAAGAACACUGAAAACUGGGAAUAUGCACAAACUUGGCUUCUUUAACCAAGAAUAUUAUUGGAAAAUUCUCUAAAAGUUAAUAGGGUAAAUUCUCUAUUUUUUGUAAUGUGUUCGGUGAUUUCAGAAAGCUAGAAAGUGUAUGUGUGGCAUUUGUUUUCACUUUUUAAAGCAUCCCUAAAUGAUCGAAUAUAUCAGUAAUUUCAGAAUCAGAUGCAUCCUUUCAUAAGAAGUGAGAGGACUCUGACAGCCAUAACAGGAGUGCCACUUCAUGGUGCGAAGUGAACACUGUAGUCUUGUCGUUUUCCCAAAGAGAACUCCGUAUGUUCUCUUAGGUUGAGUAACCCACUCUGAAUUCUGGUUACAUGUGUUUUUCUCUCCCUCCUUAAAUAAAGAGAGGGGUUAAACAUGCCCUCUAAAAGUAGGUGGUUUUGAAGAGAAUAAAUUCAUCAGAUAACCUCAAGUCACAUGAGAAUCUUAGUCCAUUUACAUUGCCUUGGCUAGUAAAAGCCUCUUAUCUAUGUAUGUGUCUUACCUCAUCUCCUAAAAGGCAGAGUACAAAGUAAGCCAUGUAUCUCAGGAAGGUAACUUCAUUUUGUCUAUUUGCUGUUGAUUGUACCAAGGGAUGGAAGAAGUAAAUACAGCUCAGGUAGCACUUUAUACUCAGGCAGAUCUCAGCCCUCUACUGAGUCCCUUAGCCAAGCAGUUUCUUUCAAAGAAGCCAGCAGGCGAAAAGCAGGGACUGCCACUGCAAUUCAAAUCACACUGUUAAAAGUUGUGUUUUGAAAUUUUAUGUUUAGUUGCACAAAUUGGGCCAAAGAAACAUUGCCUUGAGGAAGAUACGAUUGGAAAAUCAAGAGUGUAGAAGAAUAAAUACUGUUUUACUGUCCAAAGACAUGUUUAUAGUGCUCUGUAAAUGUUCCUUUCCUUUGUAGUCUCUGGCAAGAUGCUUUAGGAAGAUAAAAGUUUGAGGAGAACAAACAGGAAUUCUGAAUUAAGCACAGAGUUGAAGUUUAUGCCCAUUUCACAUGCUUUUCAAGAAUGUUGCAAUUACUAAGAAGCAGAUAAUGGUGUUUUUUAGAAACCUAAUUGAAGUAUAUUCAACCAAAUACUUUAAUGUAUAAAAUAAAUAUUAUACAAUAUACUUGUAUAGCAGUUUCUGCUUCACAUUUGAUUUUUUCAAAUUUAAUAUUUAUGUUAGAGAUCUAUAUAUGUAUAAAUAUGUAUUUUGUCAAAUUUGUUACUUAAAUAUAUAGAGACCAGUUUUCUCUGGAAGUUUGUUUAAAUGACAGAAGCGUAUAUGAAUUCAAGAAAAUUUAAGCUGCAAAAAUGUAUUUGCUAUAAAAUGAGAAGUCUCACUGAUAGAGGUUCUUUAUUGCUCAUUUUUUUAAAAAUGGACUCUUGAAAUCUGUUAAAAUAAAAUUGUACAUUUGGA